GACGUAGGGCGCGAGCGUUGUCCGGAUUUAUUGGGCGUAAAGGGCUCGUAGGCGGCCAACUAAGUCAGACGUGAAAUCCCCAGGCUCAACCUGGGAACUGCGUCUGAUACUGGAUGGCUUGAAUCCGGGAGAGGGAUGCAGAAUUCCAGGUGUAGCGGUGAAAUGCGUAGAUAUCUGGAGGAAUACCGGUGGCGAAGGCGGCAUCCUGGACCGGCAUUGACGCUGAGGAGCGAAAGCCAGGGGAGCAAACGGG
rnacentral:rRNA from 1 species